rnacentral:rRNA from 1 species
AGAGUUUGAUCAUGGCUCAGGAUGAACGCUGGCGGCGUGCCCAAUACAUGCAAGUCAGCGAACCACUUCGGUGGUGAGCGGCGAACGGGUGAGUAACACGUAGGUGAUCUGCCCAUCAGACGGGGACAACGAUUGGAAACGAUCGCUAAUACCGGAUAGGACGAAAGUUUAAAGGUGCUUCUGGCACCGCUGAUGGAUGAGCCUGCGGCGCAUUAGCUAGUUGGUAGGGUAAAGGCCUACCAAGGCGACGAUGCGUAGCCGACCUGAGAGGGUGAACGGCCACACUGGGACUGAGACACGGCCCAGACUCCUACGGGAGGCAGCAGUAGGGAAUCUUCGGCAAUGGGCGAAAGCCUGACCGAGCAACGCCGCGUGAAUGAUGAAGGCCUCCGGGUUGUAAAAUUCUGUUAUAAGGGAAGAACGACUUUAGUAGGAAAUGGCUAGAGUGUGACGGUACCUUAUGAGAAAGCCACGGCUAACUACGUGCCAGCAGCCGCGGUAAUACGUAGGUGGCGAGCGUUAUCCGGAAUUAUUGGGCGUAAAGAGCGCGCAGGUGGUUGAUUAAGUCUGAUGUGAAAGCCCACGGCUUAACCGUGGAGGGUCAUUGGAAACUGGUCGACUUGAGUGCAGAAGAGGGAAGUGGAAUUCCAUGUGUAGCGGUGAAAUGCGUAGAGAUAUGGAGGAACACCAGUGGCGAAAGCGGCUUCCUGGUCUGUAACUGACACUGAGGCGCGAAAGCGUGGGGAGCAAACAGGAUUAGAUACCCUGGUAGUCCACGCCGUAAACGAUGAGUGCUAAGUGUUGGGGGUCGAACCUCAGUGCUGAAGUUAACGCAUUAAGCACUCCGCCUGGGGAGUACGGUCGCAAGACUGAAACUCAAAGGAAUUGACGG